rnacentral:rRNA from 1 species
UACGUAGGGUCCAAGCGUUAUCCGGACUUACUGGGCGUAAAGAGUUGCGUAGGUGGCAUAGUAAGCAAAUAGUGAAAGCGUGAGGCUCAACCUCAUACCCAUUAUUUGAACUGCUAAGCUUGAGCAUGAGAGAGGUGGAUGGAAUUUCUAGUGUAGGAGUGAAAUCCGUAGAUAUGAGAAGGAACACCGAUGGCGUAAGCAGUCUACUGGCUCAUUGCUGACACUAAGGCACGAAAGCGUGGGGAGCGAACGGG